GACGAACGCUGGCGGCGUGCUUAACACAUGCAAGUCGAGCGGAGCGGCGAACGGGUGAGUAACGCGUGAGUAACUGCCCCCCUCUCUGGGAUAACAGUUGGAAACGGCUGCUAAUACCGGAUAGUGGGGGAUGACUCGCGUCCUAUCAGCUUGUUGGUGGGGUAGUGGCCUACCAAGGGGCCGACGGGUAGCCGGCCUGGGAGGGCGACCGGGCACAGUGGGCGGGUGUACGGCCCAAAGUACUACGGGGGGCAGCGGGGGGGAGUAUGGAGCAAUGGGGGAAACUCUGAGGCAGAAAGGCGCGUGCGGGAUGGCGGCAUUCGGGUUGUAAACCGAUUUCAGCCAUGACGCGGUAGUGGCAGAAGAAGCACCGGCUAACUACGUGCCAGCAGCCGCGGUAAUUC
rnacentral:rRNA from 1 species